rnacentral:sRNA from 1 species
GCUGGGUGCAGUGGCGCACACCUGUAAUCCCAGUGGCUCAGGAGGCUGAGGCAGGAGUAUCAUGAGUUCAAAUCCAGCCUCAG